GAGGAAAAGAAACCAACAGGGAUUGCCUCAGUAACGGCGAGUGAAGCGGCAACAGCUCAAAUUUGAAAUCUGGCGGCCUCUGGGCCGUCCGAGUUGUAAUUUGAAGAGGAUGCUUUUGGCGAGGCGCCUUCCGAGUGCCCUGGAACGGGACGCCACAGAGGGUGAGAGCCCCGUAUGGUUGGACGCCGAGCCUCUGUAAAGCUCCUUCGACGAGUCGAGUAGUUUGGGAAUGCUGCUCAAAAUGGGAGGUAAACCCCUUCUAAAGCUAAAUACUGGCCAGAGACCGAUAGCGCACAAGUAGAGUGAUCGAAAGAUGAAAAGCACUUUGAAAAGAGAGUUAAACAGCACGUGAAAUUGUUGAAAGGGAAGCGCUUGCGACCAGACUUGUGCCCGUCGAAUCAGCCGCCGCUCGUCGGCGGCGCACUUCGGCGGGCUCAGGCCAGCAUCAGUUCGCUGCAGGGGGAGAAAGGCGAUGGGAAUGUGGCUCUUCGGAGUGUUAUAGCCCGCCGCGCAAUACCCCUCGGCGGACUGAGGACCGCGCAUCUGCAAGGAUGCUGGCGUAAUGGUCGUCAGCGACCCGUCUU
rnacentral:rRNA from 1 species